AACCCCUGUGAACAUACCACUUGUUGCCUCGGCGGAUCAGCCCGCUCCCGGUAAAACGGGACGGCCCGCCAGAGGACCCCUAAACUCUGUUUCUAUAUGUAACUUCUGAGUAAAACCAUAAAUAAAUCAAAACUUUCAACAACGGAUCUCUUGGUUCUGGCAUCGAUGAAGAACGCAGCAAAAUGCGAUAAGUAAUGUGAAUUGCAGAAUUCAGUGAAUCAUCGAAUCUUUGAACGCACAUUGCGCCCGCCAGUAUUCUGGCGGGCAUGCCUGUUCGAGCGUCAUUUCAACCCUCAAGCACAGCUUGGUGUUGGGACUCGCGUUAAUUCGCGUUCCUCAAAUUGAUUGGCGGUCACGUCGAGCUUCCAUGGCGUAGUAGUAAAACCCUCGUUACUGGUAAUCGUCGCGGCCACGCCGUUAAACCCCAACUUCUGAAUGUUGACCUCGGAUCAG
rnacentral:rRNA from 1 species